UUUUGAAUAUUAGAGACAUGAGUAGGAGUAAGACAGAGUGUGUUUUUGUUGUUGUUAUACAAUCAAACGGAAGCUGGUCUUUGUUUUAGGGUCGUAGGUGUGUUUUGAAAGACUGCUGCAAAAUUCUAGCCAACACAGUUCUUCCCCCUGAAACCGUGGUCCCGCCUUUUACAGUCUUUUCAGGCUGCCCAGGGCUCUUCUCUGGAGAACUCCCCGAGUGCACCCAAGAGCUGAUGAUGGAUGUUACAAAGAGCUAUUACCAGAAGUUCUUGCCACUUACUCAGGUGGCCUCUGCCAGGGCCUAAAGACCAAGUCACCAGCGAAGACCUCACAAACGCAGCCCUGUUAAAAUCCCCUAGAUCUGGCCCUUUUAACCUCCGUCCUCUGGAGCAUCGCUCUGUCUGGGCUCGUCUCUGAACCUCUGCCUGCUGGCUAGCUGCACUGGCUGGAACGAUGAAGUGUCCCUAGGUUGGUGCCUGCCACCACUGCCUCCUGGGAGUUGUCGUUUCCUGAUGUCUACAAUUAGCCUGAUACAGUAGAAUGAACCACAACUUCCAAGAGGAGGCUUUGCUGCACAGAUCUGGAGCAAACGGCCACAGGGGAGCUAGUUGGCUUUGGGGGCAAUGGAGACUCCGCUACUGGAUUCCUCUGAUCAGGAACCUUUUAAAAACAUUCUCACUUGCUUAAACAAUAAACCAACCCUGCAUUCUGCCACCAUCCUGCUUUGUGAGCCAUGAAUGCCCUGCCCUUGACGGGACCGGGCUGCUGGCAGCAUUACACCAUGCUCGCGUGCUUUGUUUGAAAUAUAAACAGUGCUCAGAAACGUAACAAAAUCAGAGCUUUAGGAAGCUGCCUUCUCCCAGCCUGUGCUUCCAGGAUAGCUGGGGUCAGCCACAAAAGAGAUUUCACUAUCCCGCCAAGCCUCACGAGCA
rnacentral:lncRNA from 1 species